rnacentral:lncRNA from 1 species
UUAGUCAUUUAGUAAUAAAAAGAAUUAAAAAGGGAAAAAGAUGGCAAAAUGUGCUCAUCUUCUUCAAGGUGAAUGAAAUCAGCAAGGGGGAAGCCAUAGUUAGGGUUUUUAAGCUUCCAAGCUCAAUAGUAAGUGAUUCCAAGCCCCGUUUUUAAUGUUCUUUACGUUUUUAGAGUCCCGGUAACUUAAUUUAGCUUAUUCUAGCAAUAAUUUAACCUAGGAUUUAUAUUUGGAAAAAUACCCAUAGAUGAAAAGUGUUUAUUUUGCUAUUUUAUGGUGUAAUAUGUAGCUAGAAAUUAUGUUAAACAACUUUUGCUAAGCGAUUUUAAACGAAAACGGGUAAAUUGACAUAAUCGAUAAAAAUACCUAAUGUUCAAAAGUGUGUCUUAGAGUGAGGAUUUGAUGUUGUCAUAGAAGGGAAAAAUGUUCAGCAUGUCAUAAAACAUAAGAAUAAGAGAUGAAUUUUAAUUUUCGAGCUUAGAGAUAAAAGUGUAAAUAUGUAAAAGUUUGGGGCAAAAUUGUAAUUUUUCAAAAAAGUUGGGUGGAGGGCUAUUUUAUUAAAUGUGAACAUUAAAUGAGUUAAAUUUGCUAUUAUAGAUCAAGAAAGACGAGAAUACUACCUCAAACGGGGAAAAGAGAAGAUAGUGGAGUAAAUUACAAAAUUACGAUAUUUUGCGCUGAGAUAAGUAAACAUGUGAUUUAAUGCAUUAUUUUGAUAUUAUUCAAUAUAUGUUAGGAUUUAAUAGAACAUAGAAUAAAUAUUCGGCAAGAUCUUAAAAAUGUGGUUAAGUUGGGAAAGGUGGUAAAAUGUUGAAAAUAUGGGUUUCGGUUGAACACUCGAAAUAAGCCGGAGUACAUUGAAUAUAAAGGGGGUUGCUAAGUGUUGAUUCCCCCAAGGGGUUGCUAAGUCUGAUUCUCUGACUCAUUGGUGGUUGCUAAGUGCUGAUUUCACCGUAUCUUUGAAUAUAAAGGGGGUUGCUAAGUGCUGAUUCCCCGAUUCAUUGGUGGUUGCUAAGUGCUGAUCCCAACGUAUUUUAAAUGUGAAGGGGGUUGCUAAGUGCUGAUUCCCCCAAGGGAUUGCUAAGUGCUCAUUCCCCGAAUCAUUGGUGGUUGCUAAGUGCUGAUUCCACCAUAUCUUUGAAUGUGAAAGGGGUUGCUAAGUUCUGAUUCCCUGAAUCACUGGUGGUUGCUAAGUGCUAAAUCCACCGAUAACGAUUAACAUUCUGAGUGUUCAACGAGUAAAUUGGGAAGGUGAAUAUUUAUAUGUGGUGGACAAGUUUAUGGGAGGAAUAUUGGGUUUGAUACUUAAUCAACCCAUGUAUAAGAUGGGAGGAAAUAUCAAAAAUACAAAAGAAACAAUUUAAAUACAAAACUGUUUUGAACAACAGUAGUUGGGAAACUUUGAAAAAUCACCAUAAACGGUGGAAAAUUAAUUAGAGGUUGAAUAAUAUAUGAAAUUGAAGCUGAAUGAGUCUAUUUUCAUAUGAAAGAAACAGAGAAAGCAAAAGAGUUGUAUAUUUGGGGAUAUUUGAAUUUAUUUGAGACAGGGUUGGAUUGAUUUCGAAAUCCCCUGUUCCAACUUUGGAAAAUGACCAAAAAUUGUAAAAAAAUAAUUAUGGCCUAAAAUUUAUAUUCCUGGAUUCCUUAAUGAGUCUAUUUUUAAUAGAAACAAACAAUAACAUUUUUUUAAAUUUUUUACAGGGAGUUAAUUAAAUUUUAGUAAAGGGAGGUCAGAACCAUCGGGUAGUGAAAUAGGGGAAUCUUUAAAAAAUAAACUGUAAUAAUGGGCUAAAUAAAAAAUUCUGAAAAUUUUAUGGUUGAAAUGUAUAUGAGUCUAGUUUUGGGGAAAAUUUACGGAACUUAAUUUGGAGUCUUGUAGCUCCAGAUAAAAAUAAAUUAGCAUCUGUGAUGCAGAAAGACAGUUUGCUGGAAAUUAAACGAACCUUGAAAUUUAUGUAUGAUUAAAAUUAUGUUACUAUGUAAUCAUGUGAGGAAUUUAUUUAUUUUUCAUAUGUUUACUUACUAAGCUAUAUGCUUACUCGUUUUUAUUUUCCCUUGAUUAUAGUGACAUCAGCCAGCUCGGAAUUUGGACGAAGUCAGGAAAUCAUCCACACUAUCAUCAACUUUUUGGGUAUUUUGUAAUUAAUAUUUUUGAAAUAUGGCAUGUAUAGAUGACUUUAUGUGAUGUGGUAUAAGUAUAUAUAUAGUAUUGUUCGGUUUAAUAUGUUGGUGAUUAUUAAUGGAAAAAUUAUGUCUGAACAUAUAUCUGUAAUUGGUUGGAAAUAUUGAAGUUGUUUGAAAUUGUUUUUGAAAAGUUGCAGGGAGUUUUAUGUAAAAACAAGUAGAAAUGCUGCCGAAUUUU